rnacentral:rRNA from 1 species
GACGAACGCUGGCGGCGUGCCUAAUACAUGCAAGUAGAACGCUGAAGGAGGAGCUUGCUCUUCUGGAUGAGUUGCGAACGGGUGAGUAACGCGUAGGUAACCUGCCUGGUAGUGGGGGAUAACUAUUGGAAACGAUAGCUAAUACCGCAUAAUAACAGUUGUUGCAUGACAACUGUUUGAAAGGUGCAAUUGCAUCACUACCAGAUGGACCUGCGUUGUAUUAGCUAGUUGGUGGGGUAACGGCUCACCAAGGCGACGAUACAUAGCCGACCUGAGAGGGGGAUCGGCCACACUGGGACUGAGACACGGCCCAGACUCCUUCGGGAGGCAGCAGUAGGGAAUCUUCGGCAAUGGACGAAAGUCUGACCGAGCAACGCCGCGUGAGUGAAGAAGGUUUUCGGAUCGUAAAGCUCUGUUGUAAGGGAAGAACGAGUGUGAGAGUGGAAAGUUCACACUGUGACGGUAUCUUACCAGAAAGGGACGGCUAACUACGUG